rnacentral:rRNA from 1 species
UACGUAGGGGGCGAGCGUUGUCCGGAUUUAUUGGGCGUAAAGAGCGUGUAGGCGGUUCGGUAAGUCUGUCGUGAAAUCCUGAGGCUCAACCUCGGGCGUGCGAUGGAUACUGCCGGGCUAGAGGGUGGUAGAGGCGAGUGGAAUUCCCGGUGUAGCGGUGAAAUGCGCAGAUAUCGGGAGGAACACCAGUAGCGAAGGCGGCUCGCUGGGGCACACCUGACGCUGAGACGCGAAAGCUAGGGGAGCGAACAGG